GCUCCAAUAGCGUAUAUUUAAGUUGUUGCAGUUAAAAAGCUCGUAGUUGGAUUUCGGGUGGGUUCCAGCGGUCUGCCUCUGGUAUGUACUGCUGAGCCUACCUUUCUGCCGGGGACGGGCUCCUGGGCUUCACUGUCCGGGACUCGGAAUCGGCACUGUUACUGUGAGCAAAAUAGAGUGUUCAAAGCAAGCCUACGCUC
rnacentral:rRNA from 1 species